UGGGGAAUAUUGCACAUUGGGCGCAAGCCUGAUGCAGCCAUGCCGCGUGUGUGAAGAAGGCCUUCGGGUUGUAAAGCACUUUCAGCGGGGAGGAAGGCGAUAAGGUUAAUAACCUUGUCGAUUGACGUUACCCGCAGAAGAAGCACCGGCUAACUCCGUGCCAGCAGCCGCGGUAAUACGGAGGGUGCAAGCGUUAAUCGGAAUUACUGGGCGUAAAGCGCACGCAGGCGGUCUGUCAAGUCGGAUGUGAAAUCCCCGGGCUCAACCUGGGAACGGCAUUCGAAACUGGCAGGCUAGAGUCUGGUAGAGGGGGGUAGAAUUCCAGGUGUAGCGGUGAAAUGCGUAGAGAUGUGGAGGAAUACCGGUGGCGAAGGCGGCCCCCUGGACAAAGACUGACGCUCAGGUGCGAAAGCGUGGGGAGCAAACAGG
rnacentral:rRNA from 1 species